AGAAUUCCGUAGAUGAGAAGAGUAAUUUCGUUGCUUUUUAUUCAGAGAGAUCUUGGUAGGUGAAAAAGAUCAUGAAAGGCGAAAUGAAGAUGGUCUCUGAGGAUAAACCAUCGAUAUGUAGAUGGUUUCGAAAGGUUCAAUCGUUAUCUUGAACGCCAUUUCUUGCUUUGAGAUGGGCAGAGAGAAGUAUAAACUUCUAUAACAUAAGGUGGUACCGUGAAUGUUCACCCUUUUA
rnacentral:ncRNA from 1 species